GAUGAACGCUGGCGGCGUGCCUAAUACAUGCAAGUCGAGCGAACGGACGAGAAGCUUGCUUCUCUGAUGUUAGCGGCGGACGGGUGAGUAACACGUGGAUAACCUACCUAUAAGACUGGGAUAACUUCGGGAAACCGGAGCUAAUACCGGAUAAUAUUUUGAACCGCAUGGUUCAAAAGUGAAAGACGGUCUUGCUGUCACUUAUAGAUGGAUCCGCGCUGCAUUAGCUAGUUGGUAAGGUAACGGCUUACCAAGGCAACGAUGCAUAGCCGACCUGAGAGGGUGAUCGGCCACACGGGAACUGAGACACGGUCCAGACUCCUACGGGAGGCAGCAGUAGGGAAUCUUCCGCAAUGGGCGAAAGCCUGACGGAGCAACGCCGCGGGAGUGAUGAAGGUCUUCGGAUCGUAAAACUCUGUUAUUAGGGAAGAACAUAUGUGUAAGUAACUGUGCACAUCUUGACGGUACCUAAUCAGAAAGCCACGGCUAACUACGU
rnacentral:rRNA from 1 species